CCUGCAAAAGCAGAACGACCAGAGAA
rnacentral:rRNA from 1 species